ensembl:lncRNA
GGAAACCGCAGGGGCAGCUGUGCUCUGGAGGGCAGGGUGGGCAGCAGGGACAGGCCCAGCCCCACUGCCCCCCAGCAGGAGGAAGGGAAGGGACUGCUCCCCAGGCUUGUAUCAAGUUCUAAGCCCUACUGCUGCAGACUCCAGUCUAUAUGGCAAGGAUGGAGACCUUAGCCACGGCCAUGAUGGCUGAAUGUCGGCCUCCAGGACAGAAGCAAACACGUCUGAUGCACCCAAAAGGACACCAGCUGUGAUUCAAAGGAGCAAAAUCAGGGAUCUGUGGCCGCAAACUGCCUUCUGGCUCGGGCAGCUUUAUGCUAGGAAAAUCCCCAAAAUGAAAGCUGGGUGCUGUCUUUGCCAUCUACCCAGAAAUCCGGCCUGCUGCCUGUUUCGCUGCAACACCCUGUUCAAAGGUGAAGCCAUGAACUUUCUGAGCAACGCUGUACUCUGGACAGAAGUGCUAGGCCCAGCUUCAAACGCGCUGGCGUGAUGACUUACAGAUUUGUAUCAGGAUCACAGCAGGGGAGGCACUGCUUUUCACUACUUAAAGAGCUGAAACCAGGGAUAUGCUGCUCUCUGCAAGACAAGACUGCCCGUGACAGCAAGCUGCAACCACUCCACAAUGACAUGGGGUCAAGAAAAAAUGCUCAGCAUCUUUCCAUCAAGUGCGGCUCACUCACAGUACCAGAAGGUCCAGAAGUCACCCGAGCACAGCCGAGCAGGUGCCAGUCCCGCAUGGCCCCGCUUGCUGCAAGCCUCCUCUGGCUCGUGGCAGUGCCAGCUCACACAAAUGAAAAGCAUAUGCUGAAGUUUCAAGAAAUCACUUUCCUGGAAAAAGAAAACAUAUACAGGGAAUUUUUGUUUGAGAAUUAAUUUUCCAAAUACAAGUUUCAUUUUCCUUCUCCCCGCAGCUGCAAAUUCUAGAAUUUACAUUCUAAAAUAUUUAAACAUUUCACUAAGUUACAGUCAAGACAAGCAUUCUGACACAUUUUUUUCUUUGGAAACUGGGAGAGAAAACAAAUUUGCUGCUUCUAUUGCAAAUGAUGGAGCACCGGGUUAACGAGGGCUCAUCGCUGGCAUUAAGCAAUAUCAAACUGCUGGCUCCAGGCUCUGUUCUGUUUGUGUGUGCAUAAUCGGGUCUUUGGAAAGAGAAGUCGAUGGGCUUCAGGCAGCAGCUGUGACAAGGAGACACUACAUGAAAAUUGUUUUUAUUCAUGCUCCCAAGGCAUCUAUCCUAAACAAAAGGCUAUAGGUGCUGACAAGCUUCAGCACUACAGAUUAAACCAAGACAGGAAAAGUAAUUGAAGGAGAAAAAUAAACAAAGGAAUAUUUUAGUAAUCUUGAGGAUGAAAGGCUCUUUGACUGGCUUUGCUAGCCUUCUAACACAAACCUUUAGCUUUGCUUGGAAGAAUACUAGAUUCUCUGCGGGAUGCCAAGUCAUGAAUCCAUCAGAAAAAUCUAUUUUUGAAAUCUUUCUAUCAUGCUACCAAAGGCAGAAGUUGUGUUGACAAAAGUGUCCACCGCGCUUGACAUAGCCUUUCCUUGUUCCUUGUUUGAAAAACCAUGAAGGAGGUUGGGACUAAGGGAUUUAUAGAUGUUAAGCAAAGCCCGUCUCUUUAAUCUGAAAUCUGUCUCGCUUUGCCCUUAGGUUGACAUUUAUUGUUUAAAAACCUUGAGAAAAUGUACUGAGGAAUUGCCCAUUCCCAUCAGUUUCAGUAUGAAAUGUUUAAAGUGCACAUAUUUCAUCUAGUGCCAGGUCCAGGAUCACAGCCAGGUCUUGUUUGACAACCAGAUGACUAACACAAAGGGGUUCCCCUUAUGAAAACGUUUAGAUAUGUGAAUUGGCACAUGCGAGCAGAUCACAACAUACCCUUUUGGGAGCCAGAUCACAGUCAUGUGCAGGGCAUAUGGGCAGCCACAUGAAAAGCACGCUGCCACGCCGAGCGGGGAACGGUCGUGUUGAAUAAGCAGGAGAGCAAAUGUGAGGGUCAUUUUAUAUUUCACUGUAAUUCGUAGAGCUGCUUAAGGGUGUUAAAUGGAAACAAUUUUAAGAGUGCAAAUGAAAACUGACCGCACGCUGCCUGGAGGUUGAGUAAUGCUGAUGUGUAAAUUUGUGAUUACUCAGUGCACACAUGGCCUGUGCCGUCGGCAUGGGAAUAGGGUUCCCACAUCAAUUGUGGGCAUGAGGCAUCAACUAAAGAUGUGAGUGGCACUCUUCCAGGGUCAUCUUCAUCUUCAACUUUAAAAUGAUUUAUUCUAAUUAAACAGAAGUAUUUUCUGCCUGUCAAUGC